rnacentral:rRNA from 1 species
GAAAGUAAGCAAGGGCAGACGGUGGAUGCCUUGGCUCUCGGAGGCGACGAAGGACGUGAUAAGCUGCGAAAAGCCCGGGGGAGGCGCAAAUAGCCCUUGAUCCCGGGAUAUCCGAAUGGGGCAACCCGGCAGGCUGAAGGCCUGUCAUCCCGUAAGGGAGGCGAACGUGGGGAACUGAAACAUCUAAGUACCCAUAGGAGGAGAAAAUAAACAAUGAUUCCGUAAGUAGUGGCGAGCGAACACGGAAGAGCCCAAACCCAUGUCGUCUAGGCGACACGGGGGUUGUAGGACCACGACGUGGCAAGAUAGAGUCAAGUGGAACGCCUUGGAAAAGGCGGUCAUAGAGGGUGAAAACCCCGUACACGACUGACGAUUGAAGCCUAGUGGCAUCCUGAGUAGCGCGGGGCACGAGAAAUCUUGCGUGAAACAGCGGGGCCCAUCCCGUAAGGCUAAAUACUCCCGAGAGACCGAUAGCGAACCAGUACCGUGAGGGAAAGGUGAAAAGAACCCCGAGCAGGGGAGUGAAAUAGACCCUGAACCCGUCUGCCUACAAGCGGUCGGAGCGUUGUUAUGACGUGACGGCAUGCCUUUUGCAUAAUGAACCUACGAGUUACCUUCCCCGGCAAGGUUAAGUACCUAAGGUACGGAGCCGAAGCGAAAGCGAGUCUGAAGAGGGCGGCCAGUCGGGGGGGGUAGACGCGAAACCGAGUGAUCUACCCUUGGCCAGGUUGAAGGUUGGGUAACACCAACUGGAGGACCGGAUGGGUAAGCGUUGAAAAGCUUUCCAAUGAGCUGAGGGUAGGGGUGAAAGGCUAAUCAAACUCGGAGAUAGCUCGUACUCCCCGAAAUGCAUUUAGGUGCAGCCUCUUUAUAGUAUAUCGUGAGGUAGAGCGACUGAUUGGAUGCGAGGGCUUCACCGCCUAUCAAGUCCAGAUAAACUCCGAAUGCGCGAUAUAUAUUUACAGGGAGUGAGGGCGCGGGUGCUAAGGUCCGUGUCCGAGAGGAGAAGAAUCCAGACCACCGGCUAAGGCCCCCAAAUGAUCGUUGAGUUGAACUAACGAGGUCGGAUCGCAGAGACAGCUAGGAUGUUGGCUUGGAAGCAGCCAUUCAUUUAAAGAGUGCGUAACAGCUCACUAGUCGAGCGAUCUGGCGUGGAUAAUAAUCGGGCAUAAACGAUCUGCCGAAGCCGUGGAUGUCGUAAGACAUGGUAGGGGAGCAUUCCAUGCGGCGUCGAAGAUGAGGGAUGACCCUUGUUGGAGCGCAUGGAAAAGCAAAUGUAGGUAUGAGUAACGAUAAGGGGGGCGAGAAACCCCCCCGCCGAAAGACCAAGGUUUCCUGAUCAACGCUAAUCGGAUCAGGGUAAGUCGGGACCUAAGGCAAAGCCGAACGGCGCCGCCGAUGGAAGAAUGGGUUAAUAUUCCCAUACUGCCUCAUGGAGUGACGUGGAGACGGAGAAGUGACAGUCCUGCCGGCUGACGGAAUAGCCGGUUGAAGGGUGUAGAUAUUGAUUCCCGUAGGCAAAUCCGCGGGGAGAGUCGAACCUGACAGUAUACCGAGUACUUGUACGAGGUAAUAUGGACGUAACCAUGCUCCCAAGAAAAUCCGCUAAACUUAUCCAUGCGGCACCCGUACCGUAAACGGACACACGUGGUCGGGUUGAGAAUACUGAGGCGCUCGAGUGACUCACGGUUAAGGAACUAGGCAAAUUGACCCUGUAACUUCGGGAUAAAGGGUCCUCGUCGUAAGGCGAGGCGCAGAGAAUAGGUCCAGGCAACUGUUUAACAAAAACACAUGGCUGUGCUAAAUGGAAACAUGACGUAUACAGCCUGACACCUGCCCGGUGCUGGAAGGUUAAGAGGAGAUGUCAUCGCAAGAGAAGCGUUGAAUUGAAGCCCCAGUAAACGGCGGCCGUAACUAUAACGGUCCUAAGGUAGCGAAAUUCCUUGUCGGGUAAGUUCCGACCUGCACGAAUGGUGUAAUGAUCUGGACACUGUCUCAACCGUGAGCU